rnacentral:rRNA from 1 species
UACAGAGGUGGCAAGCGUUGUUCGGAAUUACUGGGCGUAAAGGGCGCGUAGGCGGUCUUGCAAGUCCCGUGUGAAAUCCCUCAGCUCAACUGAGGAACUGCACGGGAAACUGCUUGGCUUGAGUUCGGGAGAGGGAAGCGGAAUUCCGGGUGUAGCGGUGAAAUGCGUAGAUAUCUGGAGGAACACCGGUGGCGAAGGCGGCAUCCUGGACCGACACUGACACUGAGGAGCGAAAGCCAGGGGAGCAAACGGG